AACGAACGCUGGCGGCAUGCCUAACACAUGCAAGUCGAACGAGACCUUCGGGUCUAGUGGCGCACGGGUGCGUAACGCGUGGGAAUCUGCCCUUGGGUUCGGAAUAACAGUUAGAAAUGACUGCUAAUACCGGAUAAUGUCUUCGGACCAAAGAUUUAUCGCCCAGGGAUGAGCCCGCGUAGGAUUAGCUAGUUGGUGAGGUAAAGGCUCACCAAGGCGACGAUCCUUAGCUGGUCUGAGAGGAUGAUCAGCCACACUGGAACUGAGACACGGUCCAGACUCCUACGGGAGGCAGCAGUGGGGAAUAUUGGGACAAUGGGCGAAAGCCUGAUCCAGCCAUGCCGCGUGUGUGAAGAAGGCC
rnacentral:rRNA from 1 species